GUGCUUGCUUCGGCAGCACAUAUACUAAAAACUGGAAUGAGAUGGAGAAGAUUAGCACGGCCCCUGUGCAAGGAUGACAGGGAGAUUUGUGAAGUGUUCCAUAUUUUU